UUAGAGGAUAAACUAAAAAAGUUACAGGGUUCAUGCCCCUGGUAUACGAGCAAAAGCCGUUCCUCUAAU